UUCAAUUCACAACAGAGCUUUUUAAAAACCUCCAAUGGUACUGGAGUCAGGAACAGACUACAGAUUUUCAGAAGAUUGAGGAGAAGCCCCACCCCUGAAAUGAAUUAGCUCACUGCUACCCUGCAAACCAGGCCAGACUGUAUGAAGUUAUUAGAUGCUGCCAGAUCAUAUGAGAAUUUCCAGUAAUUUACAGGGGUCAUGGAUUAAAAAGUAUGAUAUCUUGUUGGAAUUAUGCACCCAGAACAUCAGGAUGGCUGCAAGUGGAAGGCAAAUGCAUCUCAUUUUGCGAACUGGGAAAAUCCAAGACUAUAUAAUUCAUUUAAGACUCUAAAGUUCCAAUUCUGAGUUCUAAGAAGAAAUUAGCUCCUUUACUUCAAUUAAAAGAAAGAGAACUGUUAAUUUCACAACUGAACACUCCACAACCUCCUGUGUGAAGAUCUGAUUGUGAGUGAAGCUGAUUCCAGAAGAUGACUCGACUCAUUAUCCAACCACUUCACUCCAAGAAGAAGCAUUUUGAAUGUCUUGUGUGUGGCAAAGAAUAUACUUAAAACUCGAGUUUGAAAGUACAUCAAUGUAACCACAACCAACAGUUGGUAUACAGGUGUCUAGUUUGCAAGAAGUUGUACUGCACUGCUGCCAUUCUGAUGACACAGUAGCGUAUUCAUACAGGUGGGAAGACAUACAAAUAUCUGUGGCAAGAAAUCUGCCAAUUCUUCCACAUUUGGCAACCACCUGCGUACUCACAUCGCCAAGAGAAAAUUGCAUGAAAUGGCUCCAUAUUUAAAAAGAAUUGGAGACAGGCUAUUGGUAAUCCCGGGAAUGAUUUUAUAAUCUGAGGAUUGACAAUGGAUAAACAAUAUUUUCUGAAUCUUUAUGAUCUUUAUACUUGUCACUCUGUCAAACAGAAUGGGAUUACAGCCUUGAACUGCCUUGACAAACUGUUGGGACUUGCCAGUUGCACAAUUUAGUUAAAAGUAUAUCUGACAUAUUUUUUAGUGGGAAAAUGGGUGAAAACCAUUAAACGAGACAAUUUUCUCUUUGUUUGCCAUAUGAUUGUAAAAACAACAAUGUCAAUAAAACACAAGAACAAUAUAUAUGAGCACCUCAAAAUGAAUGAGUGGUUAGCAUCACUCAGUCAUUGUAAACAAUUCACGUUGACACAAAAUAAACAAACUGGAUUAGACCAUUUUUAUGUUAAAAAGUGCAUUGUGGAUUCUGUUUUAAAUAGUUGGCAGAGAAAGUUGUUUCCUAAUGUAAUUAUCAGCUGCUGACAAUGCAUAUCUGAAGACACCAUAAAAUAGUUUAAUAGCUAGUGUACUUUUCUCUCAGUUUCCUCUUUGUAAUAGAUCUUUCUGAAUGUUAUAACUCCCACAAUCUCCAACAUCCAUAAAUAAGUUCCAUCACAAGAAGCGAAAUGAGCAACUAUUUCUUAGAACAAGGUAUAAUUUUGCAAAUUGUACAAAAGCAACCCUUGUACAA